GGAGGAGAAGGAGGAGGAGGAGGAGGGCUGGAGCCUGAGGUCGCUCUAAAUCCAUUUAAAAAGCGCCAGAGCUCAAUGUGCUGUUAUCACCCAGACACGCACACACACACACACCACUCAAUCCUUCACUCGUUGUCCUGAUUAACGACAGUAAUCUGAAAGGUAAAACACUGCUGAGUCUCAGAUAUCUGCGCGACGUUGACAGCCUGAAGACCUGGAGCCAGUGUUGGUGUGACGCACAUUUCUAAACUUCAAAUCUCUCUUCCCUGUGACUGCUCUUAGAAAUUGUGCCCCCUGGAGCAAUGGGUGUGAAGGUACUCCUGUGCUUCCCCUUCUACAGACGCUGCAAAGAACGAUGUAAGGACAGAGAGUGUCUGCCUAAGACAGAGCCUGCGGCACCGAAAGAUGUACCGAAGCCUCGUCUCUGCUCAACAGCAUCAACAGCCAGUGAGUGCGAAAGUGGAAGCAACCUGGGUAGUCCUCAAGUAUAUUUUUCCCAGAAGGCUCGGCUGUCCUUUAGGCACCAAAUGGACAGCAACUUCAACGCAAUAGAUGCCACAUAUUAACUCCUGUCAGUCACCAAGGUAUUGAAAAUGAACUCUAAACUCUGUUAAGAGAGAGCUAAGUGAUAUAGAUGGCAGAAACUAGACUUGGCAGAGGGUUUCUUCGUGCCACUCAGGAUGUCCUGAAUUCUGUUCAAUGGUCAUCUUAUGCUCGUAGGAAUGGAAAUGUUACACUGAAUAAGCAAGAGGAGAAUGUUUACAAGAUACAAAAAGUGCUUUCUAUGUUCGGUUUAUAUCCCGUAUUACUGGUAUGGCUCAACUGUCUGAUACUCAGAGGGCCACAGAUGUCUGCUGUAAUUCUGUGCAAAUAGUUUGUUGAUAACAGAUAACCUUUAUAUUACACAAUUCUUAAUCUUUUCUUAUUUCUUUCUGAGAAAAGAUCUGAAAUUUGUACCUGCAAAAGUUUUUUGUCCUUUAUAAGAAUAAUGGUUAUUUCUUUUUUAUUCCGAUUUUAAAUGCAAAAGUGUCCUUUUCUAUCCGUUUUCCUCCACUAGUUAAUAUGCAAACACAAACAAAACAGGUAGACGUGUGAAACUCUACACAGGUGUUUUUAGAAUUCAAACUCUAUAUUCUGUAGAACUUUCUUUGCUUUUAACAAUGAUAUCUGAGCAAACUGAAAAAAGUUUGACACGGUCUAUCAUUAUAACACUACAAAUACUCUGUUUUUCUUUUGUAUUAAAAUGUUUGAACAGAGUUUGUACCUUUUUUUAAAAAUAUAUGAUUCAACAUUCCAUUAAAAUUCAAUUUCUUCAUGUAAUUUUUUCAAAAUCAAUCACAUUUGAUUCAUAAAAUGGAACAAAACACUAAUGCAAACAUGUUUUUUCUUUUAGUUGUGUGAUCUAUUCAACAAAUGUGAAAAUAUAAAAAUAAUUUCUAAAUGAUGUCAGUGAUGAGAAAAUGUUAUUUGUGCGUUAAAUGUGUUCAACAUUAAGAAAUAUACACCAACACAUUUGUAAGAAAUGACUAAAAAAAGAAAUAAUUCACCUUCUUUUAUUAAAAAAGUAUUGACAAUA